rnacentral:rRNA from 1 species
CGAGAAAGUGCCUUCGGGCGCGAGUAAAGUGGCGGACGGGUGAGUAAUGCAUAGGAAUCUGCCCAGUAGUAGGGGACAACUCGGGGAAACUCGAGCUAAUACCGUAUAUUUCCUAAGGGAGAAAGACUUCGGUCGCUAUUGGAUGAGCCUAUGUCAGAUUAGCUUGUUGGUAGGGUAAUGGCCUACCAAGGCGACGAUCUGUAGCUGGUCUGAGAGGAUGAUCAGCCACACUGGGACUGAGACACGGCCCAGACUCCUACGGGAGGCAGCAGUGGGGAAUAUUGGACAAUGGGCGAAAGCCUGAUCCAGCAAUGCAGCGUGUGUGAAGAAGGCCUGAGGGUUGUAAAGCACUUUCAGUAGGGAAGAUAAUGACGGUACCUACAGAAGAAGCACCG